rnacentral:misc_RNA from 1 species
AAAAUCAUAGCUUUGCCAUUUGUCGCUUGUAUCGAAAACGAGAAUGAAAAUGGCUUCUCUCUGCGCUGCUUCUGCUCGAUUCAACGGUUUCAUCGUCCAACUGCAAGAGCUGAAAUCCCCUCCAUCACCACCGUCCUCAAACUCACUCAACCCCCUUUCAAUUCCAGGUUCCAGAAUGCUAUAACUUUGCAAGUAAAGAGGAGAUUAUUUGCUGCAUUUGCAUCAAAAUCUAAUCCUUCUAGUGGCGAUUCCAUUCAAGAUAAAUCAGAUGGGAACAAAAGUAAUGCUGCCCAAGGCCCUCCAUUCCUUACUAUUCUGGCAGGAUUCCUUGUUUUGUUCAUCAUAUUCUGGGUGUUUGGAUCUAUUAUAAUGUGGUUGUUUGGACUAAUUGUUAAGGCGCCUCCUUCAAGUUAGGCUGCUGUAUUUGUUUUGCUCAACGUUGAAAUGGUAGUUUAUGUGCUUAGAUGGACACAACUAUUUUCACCUUCUUA